rnacentral:misc_RNA from 1 species
AAAAAAAAAAAAAAAAAACCCUCUAUUCCAUUGUCUGCAAGUAGACUUAUCUUAUUUUAAAGAGUGCCAUUAUUUACUUAAUCCCUUGCUGUGGUGCUCAGAAGAGUCUUAGGAAGACUGCAAAGAAUUUGUGAAUUGAUUUUCAUAAUAAAAAUUUCUUGUUGAUUCUGAUUCUUGAUGCAUCACAUAAACUAAUAUGAUAAUGCUGCUAGAAUGCCUCUUCCUCUCUCAGGA